rnacentral:rRNA from 1 species
AUCAACUUUCGAUGGUAGGAUAGAGGCCUACCAUGGUGGUAACGGGUAACGGGGUGUUAGGGCACGACACCGGAGAGGGAGCCUGAGAAACGGCUACCACAUCCAAGGAUGGCAGCAGGCGCGCAAAUUACCCAAUCCCGACACGGGGAGGUAGUGACAAUAAAUAACAAUACGGGGUUCUUUAGGAUUUCGUAAUUGGAAUGAGUACAAUUUAAAUCUCUUAACGAUCAACAAUUGGAGGGCAAGUCUGGUGCCAGCAGCCGCGGUAAUUCCAGCUCCAAUAGCGUAUAUUAAAGUUGUUGCAGUUAAAAAGCUCGUAGUUGAAUUUCGGGGUUAGUAGGUUGGUCAUGCCUCUGGUAUGUACUGAUCUCACUGAUUCCUCCCUCUUGACGAACUGUAAUGUCAUUAAUUUGGUGUUGCAGGAAAUCAGGACUGUUACUUUGAAAAAAUUAGAGUGUUUAAAGCAGGCUAACGCUUGAAUACAUUAGCAUGGAAUAAUGAAAUAGGACGUCGAUCCUAUUUUGUUGGUUUCUAGGAUUGACGUAAUGAUUAAUAGGGAUAGUUGGGGGCAUUAGUAUUCAAUUGUCAGAGGUGAAAUUCUUGGAUUUAUUGAAGACUAACUACUGCGAAAGCAUUUGCCAAGGAUGUUUUCAUUAAUCAAGAACGAAAGUUAGGGGAUCGAAGACGAUCAGAUACCGUCGUAGUCUUAACCAUAAACUAUGCCGACUAGGGAUCGGAUGAUGUUAAUUUUUUAAUGACUCAUUCGGCGCCUUACGGGAAACCAAAGUGUUUGGGUUC